rnacentral:rRNA from 1 species
AGUGAACGCUGGCGGUAUGCUUAACACAUGCAAGUCGAACGGUAGCAGGCCUUCGGGCGCUGACGAGUGGCGGACGAGUGAGUAACGCGUAGGAAUCUGCCUCAUAGUGGGGGACAACGUGUGGAAACGCACGCUAAUACCGCAUACGCCCUACGGGGGAAAGCGGGGGACCUUCGGGCCUCGCGCUAUGUGAUGAGCCUGCGUUAGAUUAGCUAGUUGGUAGGGUAAAGGCCUACCAAGGCGACGAUCUAUAGCUGGUCUGAGAGGACGAUCAGCCACACUGGGACUGAGACACGGCCCAGACUCCUACGGGAGGCAGCAGUGGGGAAUAUUGGACAAUGGGCGCAAGCCUGAUCCAGCAAUACCGCGUGUGUGAAGAAGGCCCUAGGGUUGUAAAGCACUUUCAAUAGGGAGGAAAACCUGUCGGUCAAUACCCGGCAGCUUGACAUUACCUAUACAAGAAGCACCGGCUAACUCCGUGCCAGCAGCCGCCGUAAAAC